rnacentral:sRNA from 1 species
CACGAUCAAAAAAGGAUUCGGGUGCAG